CGGGGCGUGGCGCAGCUUGGUAGCGCAUCUGCUUUGGGAGCAGAGGGUCGCUGGUUCGAAUCCAGUCGCCCCGA
rfam:Olsenella sp. An188 An188_contig_5, whole genome shotgun sequence.